rnacentral:rRNA from 1 species
AUUGAACGCUGGCGGCAUGCCUUACACAUGCAAGUCGAACGGCAGCACGGGUGCUUGCACCUGGUGGCGAGUGGCGAACGGGUGAGUAAUACAUCGGAACGUACCUUAUCGUGGGGGAUAACGCAGCGAAAGUUGCGCUAAUACCGCAUACGCCCUGAGGGGGAAAGCGGGGGACCGUAAGGCCUCGCGCGAUUAGGGCGGCCGAUGUCUGAUUAGCUUGUUGGUGAGGGAAAAGCUCACCAAGGCGAUGAUCAGUAGCUGGUCUGAGAGGACGGUCAACCACACUGGGACUGAGACACGCGCCAGGCUCCUACGGGAGGCAGCAGUGGGGAAUUUUGGACAAUGGGGGCAACCCUGAUCCAGCAAUGCCGCGUGAGUGAAGAAGGCCUUCGGGUUGUAAAGCUCUUUUGUCAGGGAAGAAACAGCAGCUCUAACACAGUCUGCGAAUGACGGUACCUGAAGAAUAAGCACCGGCUAACUACGUGCCAGCAGCCGCCGUAA